rnacentral:lncRNA from 1 species
GAAAAGGAACAGAAUUACAAUCAUGAAGGAAACACUGAUACUGGACUAGCAGCUGGAGUUGCAUCUCCUGUGGUUUCUGCAUUUGUGCUGUUGAUUGUUGGAUCAGUAGCUGGCUACAGAGCUUACAAGAAUAAGCAACUUUGUUUCAAACCACGGGGUGAGACAUCUAUAUAAGCUGCCAGGACAUGACCUACACAGUGAUAGUGAUUGAUAGAUCAAUCCAAAAUGUAAAAAAUACAUAU